rnacentral:rRNA from 1 species
UACAUGGGGUGCAAACGUUGCUCGGAAUUAUUGGGCGUAAAGCGCACGUAGGCGGUUCGUUAAGUCGGAUGUGAAAGCCCCUCGGCUCAACUGAGGAAGUGCAUCCAAACUGGCGAGCUUGAGUACGAAAAGAGGAUCGCGGAAUUCCCGGUGUAGAGGUGAAAUUCGUAGAUAUCGGGAGGAACACCGGGUGGCGAAGGCGGCGAUCUGGGUCGAUACUGACGCUGAGGUGCGAAAGCGUGGGGAGCAAACAGG